UGCACGCUCCUUAGAUCCACCGUCAGGUUUGUGUAAAAACAGGCUGCCAUUGACGGUGAAUGAGUCAUAAGUGUGCUAAAAUAUUAUACCUCUGUGGUGGCCUUUCAUCCGUAUUUUUGUUUUUCGGGGAUUUGGUCAUCCCAGGGACAAA